GUGUCGGUAGUGCUGAUCAAGUACAAUUCCAGUGGGAUUCUUCAGCUCCGCAUGACUCUCCAUAAGGAUGACACGUUUAGCGAUGACCUGCUCCCAGAGGAAGUGCUGUACUGGCCAAGCAGUGACCUCUUUUUUGAAGUGACGCUCGGUGCUCCACAGGGAACCUUCGCUGAUGGCUUUGUUUUGGAGGUGGUUUCCUGUUGGGCCACACAGACCCCAAACUCAGCAGAAGAACCAAAGACCUUCUUUCUGAAAGGAAGCUGCCCGGUUGAUCACACGUUCAAGUGGUAUUCUGUGCAGGAAGCUGAGCAGCGGAGUCAUUUUUCUGUGCAAAUGUUUUCCAUCACCCCCUACAAUCCUAUCCACGUUCACUGCUGGAUCAAGAUCUGUACUGUGACAGAAAAGCACAACUGCUCAAGGAAAUGUCUAGCUACGCCUUCUGUGAGGAGAAGGGAUUUAAAUCACAACCUGAAACCAGGUGAAGCAGUCCUUUCAUUGGGGCCAAUCACUGUUUGAGAUCCAGAUAAAAUUAAGGAGGACCCUGGGCAAAGGCUAUCAUUCUGGGGAAAAGUUCAAAAUGUGAUGUUGGUCGUUGGUGGAACAGCAGGAUUCCUGCUUUUAGCUUUGUUUGGUGUGAUUGUACUGAAAGUCAUUGUGAGAUACAGCGAGUUGCAUCAAGAAAGGACUGCGGCACUACAGAAUCACCAUGAGUCGCGCCAGUGUUUAUAUAAAAAAAAAAAAGCGUUUCAAAAGCUAACUCUGUUUACUUUCUGGACCAAUAACAGAAAUACUUCCUCUUUGGUCAAGGAAGUCCUGAGCUGUGUACGUACAUGGGAACUCCAUUGUGUUGUUCAGUGCUGACCAAGGCUUUAAAAUGGGUAUUAAUCUCAGCCCCUUUAUCUUUUAAGUUAA